AUGACAUCAUGGUUCCUUCUCUAUGAGUAUUCUCUUGAGAACAAAGUAGAAUCAAUAUUUUUCAGGAGAACACAAGUACAGAAAAAAUAUGUUGCAUUGCCAAGUUCUCCCCCUCCCAGGUUAAGACACCUGUUACCUUUGACUGGGCUCUACCUUCCUUCUUUGGUCCAGCAACAGGGCUGCCAUCUGGGAACUGACACUCGGGCUUCAAGUCCUCCCCAGGAACAGCCCCAGCAAGUCAUUUUACCCUCAGCUUCUCACUCUACAUGGUGUUGCGGGAUAGGUCGGCAGCUGCAGCAGAACUUGAUUAGUGCCUUGCCUCUGAGCAGAUGCAUUUCCCUGACAGCAUCGAUCCUGGGUGCUUUCGCUUUGCAGGCAGCUCCACAGAGGAGGAGCUUGGACUGCAAAGGAGGUGGACUAUUGUCUGUUCAAGGUGAGUUUGGGGCAGGCGACUAAUUCAUUUCUCUUUGCUCAGCUGUGAAUUUUGCUUAAAUAGGACCUGCUUGAAAAUUUUUAUUUAAAAUCCACUGCCUGACUGAGACCUUGUGAUGGCAAGAUUCAAAGACAAUUUUUAUUGCUAAGUUAUUAGUCCUUUGAAAGAAGGAAAAUUUGAUGUUUAAUAUUUAAACAGUUUCUAUUUUGCUGAAUUCUUUGAUAUCUGAAUGUGAACUGGGUAACUAUUUAAGGUCCAUUUCUAGAGACUUUUCCAGAUAUUGAAAGCCCUACAGGAAUUUAUUUGUAAUGCUCUUGCAUGAAAAGUUGCCAUUCAUUUCUUGCCAUGGUGGCCACUGCCAGAAGAUAUGUUCAUUAGGGAUGAAAUAAAGAAAUAUUUUAUAUUUUGAUGCAUUUCAAUUUGUCCACAGUACUAGUGUGUUUUUGAGGAUAGAUAUCUUGACAUCCUUUCAUCUUGAAAAUGUUAUCGCUCCUCUAGAUUUUGGAAAAAAUUAAUAGUAUUUAGCACAGGGAAAUUAUCUGUGGGCAAACAGGAUAACUCCAAGCAUUUUUAUUUAAUUUUUUCCCCUUGAUUUUUGGUUUGAGGCUCAGGAGUCAUUGAAAAAAACUGGCACAAAUGUGCCUGGGUGUAGAUCUGACUAAGGGCUCAUUUUUCCAUGCAUUUUAAGGACAUCCCCCACCUUUAGGGAACCUGUGCCUCCCUUAGCCAAAAUUCCAGCUUCACAAAACCCUUAGCCAAAAUUCCAACUCCACAAAAGCAUCACAUGACAUUUCAAAAGCAUAUUCUAUUACUUGAAUUGGGAACACAUGUAAGAAUUAAAGAUUUUAAAAUUAAAAAAAAUUAAAAAAGAUUAAAAAAAUUGAACUACAGU
rnacentral:lncRNA from 1 species